ACGGAAGCAAAUAAAAUAUUAUGUGACUUGCUCAGGGCCAGCUAUGUAGCUUGAAAAUGUUAGAGGCCAGAUUUGAACUGACAAAGAUGAAUCUUCCUGAAUCUGAGCCCAGUGCUCCGUCCACUUCAACACCUGGCUGACCUUUGUACCAUUUCUGAGGUGCACAUGUCCCUACUACGUCUUUAACAAUCAGCUCUCAUAGCAAGAGCUGUUACCAAUAGAGUCCUAAAAUAGAGAGCCCACGAGGUCCCUUCUGUCUUCCAAAUUCUGUGAUUCCUAUCCUUUGUAGUGCACACCUUCGACAAAUAAACCCAUUCCGGUUUUUUGCUGCUUUUGCUAUUAACAUCAAAAAUAUAAAAUAGGUAUGUAUACCUCUAGUAUAAAAUACAUAAUGAAGUUCUACAGGGGCAGAAGGUGGAUGGGAAAUGUAGAGGGGCAGGUAAGGUUUGAUGUCAGGAAAACAUGACUGACAGCGAAGCUCCCCCGGAGUGGCUGGGACUGGCUCAGGAGCCAAUAGGUUCUCCUCCUUCCAGCAAAGACUGGUUGACCACCUGGCACAGGGACGUUAUGGAAGGAAGCACCAGUUGGCUCAGAUGGCUUCGUAUCAAAUCAAAUGCAAACAAAAGUGAGUCUUUCUUUCCUUUGAUGUCCCUUUAGGUAGAUAUGUGCCUACUUCAACAUUGCUCAAAAUUGGCUCCAGAGUCAGAUUGGGAGCCAACCAUAUUCCUUUGUCUCUGUUGCAAAGGCCAGUUGAGCUGUACAGACAGGAUCAAGGUCCACUCUUCUGAGAAUGGGUUUGAAUUCCUCCCUGCGCAUAUUUCUACAGCAGGAAACACCCUUCUUGCAUCUCUUCUCUCAGGGUCAUGGGGCCCUGAGAGGAUCAAUCAAUGGAAAUGUCCAGAUGCAACACUGACCUUCGACCCCCAGGGGGUGGAGUGAGGGGAGUCAGUCAGUGAUCUUCAAAGUCAUCCAGGUUGAAAACAGUUGUUUGGGCAAUGGAUCACAUGAAUUACUCUGAUAUGGUGGACCCAGAACAGAGACUCGUCAAUCAAAGGAGAGGACCAGACGAAUAGAAAUAUCUCCAGGGCAAGAAGAUUACUCAUCUGGAGUAGUGGAGGAGGUGGGAAAGUCUGGAGAGUUAAGAAUGGAGCUGGGAGUGAAGUGAGUGAGGAGAGAGACAGAGACAGAGAGUCAGAGAAAGAGAGACAGAUACAGAGACACACUCACAGAUAGUGGCAGAGACAGAGAGAGAGAGAGAGAGAUACAGAGAUAUAGAGAAAUAGAG